rnacentral:rRNA from 1 species
UACGAAGGGGGCUAGCGUUGCUCGGAAUCACUGGGCGUAAAGCGCACGUAGGCGGAUCCUUAAGUCGGGGGUGAAAUCCUGGAGCUCAACUCCAGAACUGCCUUCGAUACUGAGGAUCUCGAGUCCGGGAGAGGUGAGUGGAACUGCGAGUGUAGAGGUGAAAUUCGUAGAUAUUCGCAAGAACACCAGUGGCGAAGGCGGCUCACUGGCCCGGUACUGACGCUGAGGUGCGGAAGCGUGGGGAGCAAACAGGG